UCAAUCCUUGUCUGGGGGAGCAAAAUGUCCAAUGAACGUUUAGUGAGGGCAUUGCUGCUAACACCCAUUUACAUUAUCUACCCGCACCCUAUCGUACCUAGAUAGAGUGCAAUUUUUGUAACC